AGCAAGGCAUGGUGUAAUGGUUUGAGCAUUGGACUAUGAUUCUGGAGAUUAGGGUUCAAUUCCCUGCUUGGCUA
rnacentral:tRNA from 1 species